rnacentral:rRNA from 1 species
GAUGAACGCUGGCGGCGUGCUUAACACAUGCAAGUCGAACGGAAAGGCCCAAGCUUGCUUGGGUACUCGAGUGGCGAACGGGUGAGUAACACGUGGGUGAUCUGCCCUGCACUUCGGGAUAAGCCUUGGAAACUGGGUCUAAUACCGGAUAGGACGAUGGUUUGGAUGCCAUUGUGGAAAGUUUUUUCGGUGUGGGAUGAGCUCGCGGCCUAUCAGCUUGUUGGUGGGGUAAUGGCCUACCAAGGCGUCGACGGGUAGCCGGCCUGAGAGGGUGUACGGCCACACUGGGACUGAGAGACGGGCCAGACUCCUACGGGAGGCAGCAGUGGGGAAUAUUGCACAAUGGGCGCAAGCCUGAGGCAGCGACGCCGCGUGGGGGAUGACGGCCUUCGGGUUGUAAACUCCUUUCGCUAGGGACGAAGCGUUUUUGUGACGGUACCUGGAGAAGAAGCACCGGCUAACUACGUG